rnacentral:rRNA from 1 species
GACGCACGCUGGCGGCGUGCUUAACACAUGCAAGUCGAGCGGAGCGGCGAACGGGUGAGUAACGCGUGAGUAACCUGCCCUUCAGAGGGGGACAACAGUUGGAAACGACUGCUCAUACCGCAUACUGAAGGAGGGGAUUGCGUCUGAUUAGCUAGUUGGAGGGGUAACGGCCCACCAAGGCGAUGAUCAGUAGCCGGUCUGAGAAGAUGAACGGCCACAUUGGGACUGGGACACGGGCCAGACUCCUACGGGAGGCAGCAGGGGGGAAUCUUCCGCAAUGGACGAAAGGCUGACGGAGCAACGCCGCGUGAGUGAUGACGGCCUUCGGGUUGUAAAGCUCUGUUAAUCGGGACGCGGUACCGGAAUAGAAAGCCACGGCUAACUACGUGCCAGCAGCCGCGGUAAUUC